rnacentral:rRNA from 1 species
AUUGAACGCUGGCGGCAUGCUUAACACAUGCAAGCCGAACGGUAACAGGCCCUUGGGGUGCUGACGAGUGGCGGACGGGUGAGUAAUGCUUAGGAAUCUGCCUAGUAGUGGGGGAUAACCCGGGGAAACUCGGGCUAAUACCGCAUACGCCUACGGGGAAAGCGGGGACGUUCGGCCGUCGCGCUAUUAGAUGAGCCUAAGUCCGAUUAGCUAGUUGGUAGGGUAAUGGCCUACCAAGGCGACGAUCGGUAGCUGGUCU